rnacentral:rRNA from 2 species
UCUAAGUCAGAAUCCGUGCUAGAAACGAUGAUGUUGGUGUCGCACAUUAGACUUGUGUUUAAAUAGAGCUUUGCUCGUGAACCAAAUAUGGUGGGCUGGGUUGUCUUUGCGGAAACGCUUGGGCGACUUGUCUACGAAUUGUAAUCAUAAUAUGGGCGGCGGUGAAUCCUUUGCAGACGACUUGAAUGGGAACGGGGUACUGUAAGUGGUAGAGUAGCCUUGUUGCUACGAUCCACUGAGGUUAAGCCCUUGUUCUAAAGAUUUGUUC